GUUGGUUUUCCUCUACCUCCCUGCGGAGGACCCGAAAGCACUUAGAAACGACUGCUUUAAGGAAGGAGAUGGGAAACUCCUAGACCUACUGUUUUGCUGGAGAAAUCACGGUGUUUUUUGAAGAAGACAUUUUAGGUCCUAGAGAGAUGAAGUGACUGGUUCAAGGUCACACAGUAUCGGGGAUGGAAUCCAGACCUCCUGAUAUCCAUACUGACCCAUCCUUCAGACCCACACCACCAACUUUAUGGAGGAAGCCACUGAGAUACGGAAUGGAACAACAGAUUAAAUAGUCAAUGUCUCACUCUGGGAGCCUCACACGUGACUCUUCUUUCAUUCAAGCAACCACAGCCUCAUGCUACUAGGAACCAUCUUGCUGUCCCAAGAAUGCUGUCUGAGAAAGAAGCCAACAUGGGUGAAAUCUAAGUUGUGAGAUAGAGAAAGCUGGAGACUAGAUGAAGUCUUUUUGAGUACCUGGAUCUAACCAUGCCUUAAGCGAGUAUAAUCCUGGACAUCUCCUUUACACGACCCCUAUAUCUCUUUCCCCUCCUACCUCACUUUUGUUCCCCUUAUGAAGAGUUGGAUUUGGAUUUUUGUCACUUGUAGCCAGAAAUGUUUUAACUAAUUCAUGCCAUAAAUUGUAUGUAGUUCUCAUUA